AACGAACGCUGGCGGCAUGCCUAACACAUGCAAGUCGAACGAGACCUUCGGGUCUAGUGGCGCACGGGUGCGUAACGCGUGGGAACCUGCCCUUAGGUUCGGAAUAACUCCCCGAAAGGGGUGCUAAUACCGGAUAAUGUCUUCGGACCAAAGAUUUAUCGCCUUUGGAUGGGCCCGCGUUGGAUUAGCUAGUUGGUAGGGUAAAAGCCUACCAAGGCGACGAUCCAUAGCUGGUCUGAGAGGAUGAUCAGCCACACUGGGACUGAGACACGGCCCAGACCCCCAGGGGGGGGGGGGGGGGGGAAUAUGGGAAAAGGGGGGAAAGCCCUACACAACCAGGCCCGGGGGGGUGGGAGGGCGGGGGGGUUAAAAAGUUUUUUUCCCGGGGAGGAAAAGGAAGGGCCGGGAAAAAAAAGCCCCGGCUACCCCCGGG
rnacentral:rRNA from 1 species